GAUGAAGAACGUAGCGAAAUGCGAUAAGUAAUGUGAAUUGCAGAAUUCAGUGAAUCAUCGAAUCUUUGAACGCACAUUGCGCCCGCCAGUAUUCUGGCGGGCAUGCCUGUUCGAGCGUCAUUUCAACCCUCAAGCCCCAGCGGCCUGGUGUUGGGGACCGGCGACCUCGCCCGAGCCCGCCCUCCGGGGCGCGUGCCCGGUGCGUCCGCCGCCCCCGAAAUGAAUUGGCGGCCUCGUCGCGGCCUCCUCUGCGUAGUAGCACAACCUCGCAAGCGGGAGCGCGACGCGGCCACUGCCGUAAAACGCCCAACUUUUUUAGAGUUGACCUCGAAUCAGGUAGGAAUACCCGCUGAACUUAAGCAUAUCAAUAAGCGGAGGA
rnacentral:misc_RNA from 1 species